rnacentral:rRNA from 1 species
GACAGAGGCCCCGAGCGUUAGGCGGAAUUACUGGGCGUAAAGGGCGCGUAGGCGGUCUUGUAAGUCCCGUGUGAAAUCCCUCGGCUCAACUGAGGAACUGCACGGGAAACUGCUUGGCUUGAGUUCGGGAGAGGGAAGCGGAAUUCCGGGUGUAGCGGUGAAAUGCGUAGAGAUCCGGAGGAACACCAGUGGCGAAGGCGGCCCCCUGGGCCGCGCCUGACGCUGAGACGCGAAAGCGCGGGGAGCGAACGGG